rnacentral:lncRNA from 1 species
CAUAUUUUCCACUUUUUUCGUAAAAUGUGUCUGCGUGUUUGGAGGGGAAAUUUCACCUCGCCAGACUUCGGGUCUUAUACAAAGUUACAGAGACACAAACGCAAGCUCCAGCACUAAUUAUUUGUGACGUGGGAGAAAAACCACUAUUUUUCAGAUGUGGAAACAUGUUUUUCUAGUUUUCCCAUACAAUUGGUCAGAGAAAAUAAUUUAUACUAUUUUAAAAUAGCAAAUGAAUAUUUUCAACGUUAUUAGUGAGACAUUAAUAUUUGAAGUUUUCUGAAUAUUCUCUCAUUUAUUGCUGGCUUGGUUUACCAAAACAUUUAUACACAUUUCAUUUUAACUUAUUCCCUAUUUCCAAGGUAUUUCACACUUAACAUUGAUUUUCAUGAGCCGUGAUUGACGAUUGUACAUUUCCAACGAUAUUUUUAGAUUCUGUGUAUAUUUUAAUAUUUUUUACACGUGAGUUUUUGAGAGAAUUUUGUUGAUUUGGUGUGCAUCGAAUAUUUCAUACUCGAUCCAUGCGUGCGAACUUGUUGCCAGAUUACUCAGGAGCACUCAGAAUCCAGAAUCUAAUAGAAAUUUGAGGAUCAGUCUAAACUGAUAAUCGUAAUCGAGCUGUGAUAAUUCGGUGAAGGAUGAGAAGCACCUUGGGUUUCGUUCACAUGCUCCUUUUGGUUUAUCAGCAGGGAUAUUGUCACAGUAAGCUGUCAAAGAGCUGGCUAAGGAAUUUUAACGUGAAACAUGACGAUACACCUAGAUCGGCCUUUAAUCCAGAGGACACAAUUAAAAUCGGCAAGAAGUUUGGGUUACCUGCUGAUGCUAUCCCCGUUUUUAGAUUAAAAGAACACUACCAUACAGGUGCUGAAUUGAAACAAGCUAGAAGUCUGGCAGGUUUGCGAGUCACCGUCAUAUCCGCGGGCAAAGUUCAAGACGAGGACCAAGAGGACGCAGACCAGGGCUUGCAGAGUAGAGGGAGGAAGAAAAAAACAAACUUUAAUAUCGGCAUUCCUUCCCUAUGGUGA